rnacentral:lncRNA from 1 species
UCAGCUGUGACCUUUUGCCACUUGUGUUAUCCAUUCACUCUAUCGACUACAACACACUCAAAAAAACUUUGGCAAAUUAGUGGAAUAAAAAAGCCAUCAAGGUUAUCAAAGACAGGUGGCAGAUUUGUCAGGAGCUCAUAGAGAAUCAUGGGGAAGCACUGCCUGGUUUGCCUGCAAUUCUGCUCUGUGCCUAGAGAUUUGCCCAAAUGGACAGCUGCUGGGACCAGGGGGAGCUGUCACAGUGUCCAAAGAAGGCAGAGACCCAUAUGCUGUCUUCCGCAGAAGAAGUGGAUGCUCUCUGCAGAUGGAAGAGCCUGCAGAAAGCCCGAAGGCCUGGUACUUCCACCCUCUGGGCAGGGAUGCUGAAGGCUGCUGCAGUUUCCUCAGACCUAGCACUCACUUUGCCUGCUGCAGCUGCAUUGUUUCCAUUUCCUUUGGUCUUCUAUUUGCCAGCAUUGAAGCCCAGUUUUAAACAUUGCCACUAGAUUGCAGAGCCUCUGCUUUUAUUUCAUGGUUCUACUUGUUGGCUAUUUAUUUUUAUUUUAAAGUAGGCAGAGUACAAAAAGAGUGAUAGUGUCAACACUGAGGGCUGUGAGAGUGAUUCUAAAUUCAGUGCUUGUUUCUUCUAAGUCAGUCACUGGACACCUGUAAAUAGUAGUAACAAAGCAAUUGGAAAAAUGCUACCUCUUUUCUCAAAACCACCAAAUAAUCUGCUUAUUUUAGUUCUAAUUUUUUGUCCUUAUCAGAAAGACAAACACCAAAAGUGUUUGUUCUCUCAGUUUGAGAUUUUUUUUUUCUUUUUCAGUUGAAUACUAGAAUUUUCCAAGAAAUACAUUUCUUAGGUUUUGUAUAUGUAAGGUUUUUAAUCAUGUUUUGCCUUACUGCAGCAUUCAGUAAUGAAAAUAUUGAUCUUAUUAACUGUGCUAAUUAGAGCUGAACAAAAUACCUCCAGCAACAGCUAGUGAAUAUGCAAUGGAAUAACAAUUCUCAAAUUGGUUUGCCAGUGUUUACAGGAGAUGAAUAUUGUCAGGGAUAAGUUUGCUAUCAGGAACAUUGUGUGAAGAGGGCAUGGUAAAUAUUUGCACACUAAAUUUUAAAUUCAUGUUUUGGUAUUAGAAGUUUCUCUUGUAAAAUCAAACAAAACAUAUUUUCAACUAAUCUGCUUAGUAGGAGAAAGAGAAUUAACCAGUCUUGCUGCACAAGUCAAUUCAGAGUAAUCCCUAGUUGCCAUAGACUCGGAGUAGUAUAUUUACACACUUCCUAAAGAAGGAGGGUAAGCCUUAUAUAGUUUGGAAUUACUAAGUAAUUUCUUCACAGAUAUCACCACUAUUUUUUUUUGUUUUUGUUUUCUGAUAAUGACCCUAUGAAUGGUAUAUGAUUUUAAAUGAUAACCAUAAAUUGAGUUUACCAAAAGUAUGUUUUAAUAUAAAUUAAAAUAGUGUUUUAUUUUUGUUUGUUUGUUUUUGUAUACAAGAAAAGGUGAUUGUAUAAACUGUUAUGUGGAAUGGCUAAAGAAGAUUCAAUUUACUAAUAGUGUGAGCUCCAUUGAGUUUUAAAAUAAUGUCACAUCUACUGUUGAGUCAGAGUUGUGCAAUUUACUUUUAGCAGGUUGCAAAAAAGUCAUAUUCUGGAUCCAUUCCUUUUAAAUGUGUCCAGCAAUGUCAGUGUUGAGAUCUCACUCUGAGAUGUUAAAUUGUGUUCUACCAUAUUCUUAUGCACUGCCAGUCUGGCAUAUGUUCCUGCAAUAAAGCCAGCAGUUGCCACUGUUGGAAUGAACUG